AUUGUCCCUUCCUUCCCUGAGUCCCAGGCUCCACUCCUGGUCACCCCAGUUCUUACCCUUACCGGCUCAGAAGUGAGGCUCGCUUGGGAAUUGUUCCUUUAGUAUCUGUAGAACUUCUUCCAGGAGUGAAAGCCCAAGGUCCACUUUGAAGGAGAAGAAAGGGUCACUGAGAUCUGGAGGCUCAGUGCUGUCAGAAAGGGACUAUGAGAGUCUGGUCAUGAUGCGCAUGCGCCAGGCCGCUGAGCGCCAGCAGCUGAUUGCCCAGAUGCAGCAGGAAGAUGAGGGGCGGCCCACGUAGCCCCGACUUCAGCCUUCCCACCCCACACCCUUUUGAGUCAUCACCAAUAAACUUUUUAAAAAACA
rnacentral:lncRNA from 1 species